CCUAGUAUUGUUUCCACGUAUAACUAUAUGUAUUUAGCAAAUCAGUUGGUAUAUGAUGUAUUCAUGAAAUAAACCUAGUUCCUUUCUGCAUAAAUGUUGUUGGAAUCUAACUAUUAUGCUGAAUUAUUUGCAGGGUGAGCUAGAAAUUGGAUUUUUAAAAGUAAGUUUCUUAUAUCCACUUUUUGAACUAAAUGAAUUUUGUAUAAUUUAUAUCAGGAACUUAUGUGAUUGUCAAACAUUGCCUUGCCUGCCAUAUUGCUCUGUAUUACUCAAAACAUAGCUUUUGA
rnacentral:lncRNA from 1 species